GUUUAGCACAGGGAUUCAAUAAAAUUCACUAAUGGCUGCUACAGAAAAUGGGCAAAAGGAGCAGAGAGAAGAUUUUAGUUUCUACCCAGGAGCAAAACUCCCCCUUCCCAUUUUAUGAAUUUCAUUAGGUGAAGCUAAUUAAAGAGAUGUUUCUUAUUACAGAGAGCAGGAUCUGUCCGACUGGAGUCUGUGGAGUCACAGAAAUGCAAUGUAGGAGAAUUCUUCUUAUGCAACUGAAUGGCUCUGGAACAGUUUUAACAAAGGGAGAGAACUUCAAAAGAGAGGGAGCAGCCAAAGGGAUGAUCCAGACUAGACCAAGUCUCCAAAACAAGCUGUGUGGGAACAAAGCAAUUUAA
rnacentral:lncRNA from 1 species